GCUUUUAGAGAUAAAGCGGAGGUAUUCGGGGAGACAGGUGGUGCAUGGUUGUCGUCAGCUCGUGUCGUGAGAUGUUGGGUUAAGUCCCGCAACGAGCGCAACCCCUAUUUGCUAGUUACCAUCAUUAAGUUGGGGACUCUAGCGAGACUGCCAGUGAUAAACUGGAGGAAGGUGGGGAUGACGUCAAAUCAUCAUGCCCCUUAUGACCUGGGCUACAAACGUGAUACAAUGGCUGGAACAAAGGGAUGCGAAGCAGUGAUGUGGAGCGAAACCCAUAAAAACAGUCUCAGUUCGGAUUGAAGUCUGCAACUCGACUUCAUGAAGUCGGAAUCGCUAGUAAUCGCGGAUCAGAACGCCGCGGUGAAUACGUUCUCGGGGUUU
rnacentral:rRNA from 1 species